AGUCUUCUGAAUCCGUGCUGAGAUUUCGUUAGGCACCAGCCCACCAGUACUGAUGAAACUCCCAAAACAAGUAAAACG
rfam:Schistosoma rodhaini strain Burundi genome assembly, scaffold: SROB_scaffold0009256